UUGUGUUCUUUGCUUCUCUAUCCUCGCUUCACCCUCAUCACCACUCCGACACCACCCCUUCACCCCACAUCAACCAAAACACUCAUUCCUUCCCUUCCUCCUCUUAUAUCAGUCUCAAAAUUGACAUUAGGGUUUAGUGAUCGAAGAUGGGGGACGAUCGUGUGCUCAGAGAUCCAUCGAUAUGCUAGAUGCCGAAGCUUAUCUAGAAACAAGAAACAUCUGGUACGGCGUUUAGAUGAAAUAGAGGGAGAAAGAAAGAUAUGGAGAGAGACUAAAGGUGGGAGACGACGUAAAGGACAAGGAGGCUGACCACCAUCUUUAGAGGGAGGCUUGGCGUUGGCAUUAUCGCCAUCCACAUGCUUGGCCUGGUUGUAUUCUUGCAAACCUAGGGUUCUGCCAUGACUUCCGACGGUGGUGGAUAGGGUCAAAUCAACCACCAAAACCGGCGGUGGCUAGGGUUUUCGUGGUGUAAGGGGUUGCUGAUGAGAUUCGGAUCCCACUCAGGCAGAUUUUUGUUUAGUUUCGUGAGAGGUAUUGUACACCUCUUCUUCGUCACGAAACGCAUAAAUGCGAUAAAUAUUUCAGUUGGUGUUUUAAGUGGAGUCCAACGCAGGGCUUCGUAGAAACUCAAGGUUAAAGGCACCAAGAAGAUUGUGCUAAGGUUGUAAGUAUGUGUCCCAACAUCCAAUUAAGGUUAGCUUUUAAUCUUUUUUGAUGUUUUUUUAUUUACUUUUGUUGUUAUUAAUGUUGCCUUUUUUCAUGUUUUGUGACGAGAUGCAAACAUUUUACCAUUAGCGGAGACAAGAAGGGCAAUGAAACUUCAUAAAAAAGAUGCAAACAUUUUGGCAUUGGUGAGGAGAUGCAAACAUUUUGACAUUUGUAUACGUCUUUUCAAGAGAUUAGAGGUAAGGACGUAAGGUAACCGGAUUCAACACUGACAGCGGAAAUGUUUUAGGGUUUCCACAACACCGUGCUUUAUGAUUGUCCUACCGGAAUCUAGAUAGUGAAGUCUUCAUGCAGAGAUAUGUUUUUUAAUAGUGGUUUCUAUUGUGAUACGUAAGGUAACCGGAUUUGUUAAUGCACCACAACAAUAGUCAUAGCCAAUUGCUUCCAAUCAAGAUAACCAACCCCCAAAAUUUGAUUUUGGGUAUGGAACAUGAGAAGCUUAUUAAUUUGCUUCAGUUGAUGUGUGGAUAGUUGACGUGUGGAGGCAUGAUGGUUGAAAAAGUAAAACUCUUUUACUUUGUUAGUUUUCAUGGUACAUGUUGCUGAUGUGUCUUAAAUUACACAUUUUUUCAUGUCAAAAUAUCCUACUCAUUUUUUCAUGUCAAAAUAUCCUUAAAUUAUGCGUAUUUUAUUGCAAAUUAUUUUUAGUUGUACUUAAUCGUGUCCUUAUUGAAUUUGCAAGGCUAUGUAUCGUUUUAGGAAUGUUUAAGUUGAAAACCAGGUCAAUAGUGAAGAUGAGGGAGUCUGAAGCAAAACAAUGAAAGAAUGAAGCAGAGUGCGUGCGUUUGCAAGUCCACAGACCAUAGGCCAUAGGGAGUGCAUCAACCA